CCCUUUUUUCAUCUUCAACAAGUCUUCUUUACAAGAUCUUGAUCUCAGUGACAAUGCACUUUCUGGUGAAAUUCCUGCAAAUAUCUGCAGUAGUCUUCCUUUUCUAGAAUACAUUUCUUUGUCCCAAAACAUGUUUCAUGGAGGAAUACCGUCUGCUCUAUCAAAGUGCACAUAUUUGCAAAUAUUAGGUUUGUCAUUCAAUGAUUUCUCGGGGGCCAUACCUAAAGAAAUCGGCAAUUUGACCAAACUUCAGGAAUUAUAUCUUGGCCGUAACAGACUCCGAGGUGCGCAUGAUCAUGGAGUUUAAUUAUGAAAUUUUUUUCCGUAAGUUGUAAUAUGAAUAAUGUUCCAUAAGACAAUUUGCACACGUUGAUUAAUUUGCAGGAGAAAUUCCUCGAGAGCUUAGCAAUCUUGCCGAAUUGGAGCAAAUGUGGUUAUCAGAAAACGAACUCCAAGGUAUGAUUAUAAACUUUUUGCAAUUUUAUUCUAGCUCUGCUUGCUUCUGUAUUCAUUCGUUUGUUCAUUAAUUAUGCUAUGAUUUGUUGUUUUUCUUUCAGAUAGAGAUAAAGCUCCAUGUCUCCCCUCACUAAUUUCAUUCUUUGAAUUAUGCAGAUAAAAAAAAAAAAUGUUUUGUAAUUUUCUUUUGUCAUAUUGCCACUUCCAUUUUGAAGCUCCCAAUUAAGUCGAUGAAAAUGAAUGAUGUUUCAUUCUUGUUCUUGUCAGCCUAAUUCUUAUAUAACUGAAGAGUAAACUGUUAUCAUGAUAUUCGUCAGCCAAUAAUUUUUUUUUUCCAAAUAUGAGUGAUCAAAUUGUUUGCGCAUAUAUAAAUGUACUUAAUUUGCAGGAGGUAUUCCACAGGAUUUGGGGAAUCUUGCAAAAUUGAAGAUGUUACAGCUGUCCCAGAAUAACUUGACUGGUAACCUUCUUGACGAUAUAUAUAUGAGACAUCCUCCGCUUCUUAAUUAAUAAAUUUCAAGUCUCUCAUUAUAAAUUCUCAUAUGAGGAUGUGUCGUUACCACUGUCUAACAUUAUUCCGUUUCUUAUUAGAAAUUAGUUUGCGUUAAUUCGAAAUUAUUUAGCAUUUAAAAAAAUUAAAAACACGUGGAAUAAUUUGUCAAUCUUUCUUCUUCACUGAAUUUAGAUUUCUCAAAAAUUAUCUUAACAAGUAUGCUUCACUAAUGAUAUGCAUGCGUGACAACUUCAUAAAAUAUUGUACAUGAAAUCACUAAUUAUCUUUAAAUAAUUGGAGAUGCCAUCACUAAUAAAUCAUUUCUCAAUACACACUAUAGUAAGAGAAAUCGGCAAUUUUACUAAUAUUAAAGAGUUUUAUAUUCACCACAAUGUACUUCAAGGUACGUAUCAUGACGGAAUUGUUUAUCUAAAUAUACUUUUAGUCAUCACUUAGUGAUAUUUUAUCUUAACCGAUGAUGCUCGUUCUUAAGAUUAGUAGGAAAAUUAGAAAUUGUUGAUUUACUCAGAAAUAAAUUUAGAGUUUAGAAUUUCAAUUUGGAAAACUUGAACUCAAUGUUGAUAAAUUUGAAUCGGUCGAGCCGAGUUUGGCUUCCUUGAUCAACGGACCCAUUGAAAGUUCUAUUAUUCGAAUUGAGUUCCUAGGUGCUUAGAAACAACAUUUCUUUUUCCGUGUCGCUAUAAAUCAUUCACAACUGAGUUGAUUAGCUUCGAAUGUUGCCUGAGACCAUAUUAGUAGGAGAAAUUUGAAAAGAAAUUAUUUUACUGAAUUCAUUUAUUUUAUCUUUCAGUAACUGAAAUACUACUUUUUUUUUUCUUUUUGGCUAUCGUUGGGGCUUGAUUUACUUUAAUAGUAGCAGCCACCUACUUCGACUUUUACUUUUCACCAUACAAUUUGAUAUUUUAAUUCGUUUUAACCACAUAAUCUAUCUAUUUCUCACCUACUGCUUGCUUAAAUCGCAUACAUAUUCUAACUACUAAUUUUUACAAAUAUUAGUCAAACAUAUUUCAUUACAUUUCUCUCGUAACUGCUCCAAAUGUGCACUAUUAAUACUUAACCCUCCAUUUUAAUUUACCGUGCAAUCUAUCUACCCACUUAAAUCACAUAUAUAUUUUACCUAUAUUUUUCCCCAAACAAAUAUAAAAAUAAAAGAAAAAGAAUAUGUGUAGCAAUUUGUAUAUAACCAACACAGCAUUGACGGUGUGUAGCCUUUCAAUACUUCAUGAGUGGCUUUUCUUGUGUGUUACGCCAUGUAAUAGUUGUGUAGUGUAUAAAUGACUUUUUAUUUUUAAAGUGCGUCCGUUUCUAUACAUUAUUAAUUAUCUGUAAAAAACCUGAGUAUAAUUCUUUCAAAAUACGUACUAAAGCUACUAGAGCUAUGUUAAAGCAAUUUAUAUAUAAAUUACUAAAGCAUAUACUAAAAGCUAGCAUUGAUGUACGGAUGAGUUGUGUCAAAAGUGUAUCUGUUUUUAUGUAUUACUGUUCUCUGACACAAAUCUGAAUAAUGGAAUAUAGUUCUGUCAAAAUGCCUAUGAAAUAGCACAAGAAAUCGGAAAUAUUUUACUGGGAUAAGAAUUUAUAUAUUCGUGGUAGUAGCACAUAUAAAAUAGACUAUAAAUUUAAUUCCAAAAUACGUUCUUGUGUUCAUAUAAAUUUUACAUUACUAAUUUAAAUUACUAUUAAAAUACGUAAGAGAUGCUCUGCUUGCCCUGAUAGCUCACAUUAGUCAUGAUCCAACCAAUUUCUAGGCCAAAAAUUGGAACACAAGUAUUCCUGUCUGUAAUUGGACAGGCGUCACUUGUGAUGACCAUAGGCAUAGAGUCACAGUCUUUAAUGUUUCUGGCUUAAAUCUAACAGGCACCAUCCCUUCUCAACUUGGGAAUCUUUCGUCUCUACAAUCACUCAAUCUGAGUUUUAAUCGACUUUCUGGUUCCAUUCCCUCCACCACCUUCACCACGUAUACACUGAAAUUCGUUGGUCUCCGUGGAAAUCAGCUCUCCGGCGCUUUCCCUUUUUUCAUCUUCAACAAGUCUUCUUUACAAGAUCUUGAUCUCAGUGACAAUGCACUUUCUGGUGAAAUUCCUGCAAAUAUCUGCAGUAGUCUUCCUUUUCUAGAAUACAUUUAUUUGUCCCGAAACAUGUUUCAUGGAGGAAUACCGUCUGCUCUAUCAAAGUGCACAUAUUUGCAAAUAUUAGUUUUGUCAUUCAAUGAUUUCUCGGGGGCCAUACCUAAAGAAAUCGGCAAUGUGACCAAACUUAAGGAAUUAUAUCUUGACCGGAACAGACUCCAUGGUGCGUAUGAUCAUGGAGUUUAAUUAUGAAAUUUUUUUCGAUAAGUUGUAAUAUGAAUAAUGUUUCAUAAGACAAUUUGUGCACCGUGAUUAAUUUGCAGGAGAAAUUCCUCGAGAGCUUAGCAAUCUUGCCGAAUUGGAGCUGAUGUCGUUAUUCGAUAACGAACUCCAAGGUAUUUAAGCAUUUCAAUU
rnacentral:lncRNA from 1 species